GGUGGUGGAAGGACCAUAGCUCAAUGGUAGAGCAACUGCUUUGCAUGCAGAAGGUCCCAGGGUCAAUCCCAGGCAUUUCCA